rnacentral:rRNA from 1 species
AUUGAACGCUGGCGGCAUGCUUUACACAUGCAAGUCGAGCGGCCGUAGCAAUACGGCAGCGGCAGACGGGAGAGUAACACGUGGGAACGCGCCCUUUGGUUCGGAAUAACUCAGGGAAACUUGAGCUAAUACCGGAUAAGCCCUUACGGGGAAAGAUUUAUCGCCAAAGGAACGGCCCGCGUCCGAUUAGCUAGUUGGUGAGGUAACGGCUCACCAAGGCGACGAUCGGUAGCUGGUCUGAGAGGAUGACCAGCCUCACUGGGACUGAGACACGGCCCAGACUCCUACGGGAGGCAGCAGUGGGGAAUAUUGGACAAUGGGCGCAAGCCUGAUCCAGCCAUGCCGCGUGAGUGAUGAAGGCCUUAGGGUUGUAAAGCUCUUUUAGCAGGGAAGAUAAUGACGGUACCUGCAGAAAAAGCCCCGGCUAACUUCGUGCCAGCAGCCGCAGUAA